rnacentral:rRNA from 1 species
AUUGAACGCUGGCGGCAGGCCUAACACAUGCAAGUCGAGCGAGCGGCGGACGGGUGAGUAAGGUCUGGGAAACUGCCUGAUGGAGGGGGAUAACUACUGGAAACGGUAGCUAAUACCGCAUACCAUCAGAAGUGCCCAGAUGGGAUUAGCUAGUAGGUGGGGUAACGGCUAACCUAGGCGACGAUCCCGAGCUGGUCUGAGAGGAUGACCAGCCACACUUGAACUGAGAACCGGUCCAGACUCCUCCGGGAGGCAGCAGUGGGGAAUAUUUCACAAUGGGCGCAAGCCUGAUGCAGCCAUGCCGCGUGUGUGAGUAAGGCCUUUGGGUUGUAAAGCCCUUUCAGCGGGGAGGCGUUACCCGCAGAAGAAGCACCGGCUAACUCCGUGCCAGCAGCCGCGGUAAUAC